GAUCACGGCUCAGGAUGAACGCUAGCUACAGGCUUAACACAUGCAAGUCGAGGGGCAGCAUGGUCUUAGCUUGCUAAGACUGAUGGCGACCGGCGCACGGGUGAGUAACACGUAUCCAACCUGCCGUCUACUCUUGGACAGCCUUCUGAAAGGAAGAUUAAUACAAGAUGGCAUCAUGAGUCCGCAUGUCACAUGAUUAAAGGUAAUUCCGGUAGACGAUGGGG
rnacentral:rRNA from 1 species